rnacentral:rRNA from 1 species
UACGGGGGGGGCAAGCGUUGUUCGGAAUUACUGGGCGUAAAGGGUUUGUAGGUGGCUUGUUAAGUCAGACGUGAAAUCCCUCAGCUUAACUGGGGAACUGCGUCUGAGACUGGAUGGCUUGAGUGCAGGAGAGGAACGCGGAAUUCCAGGUGUAGCGGUGAAAUGCGUAGAUAUCUGGAGGAACACCGGUGGCGAAGGCGGCGUUCUGGACUGCUACUGACACUGAGGAACGAAAGCCAGGGGAGCAAACGGG